rnacentral:lncRNA from 1 species
AGCAUAGGCAACAUAAAAAGGAUAUUUCUGAAAUACAAAGAAUUCUGGGAAAAGAGCUGGAUUUUCACAUUGAUUUUCCUUCAUUUUUUCUGAGAUUCCAAGGGGAUUUGAAAACAUAAAUAGCUCCAUGUUUCCCUAAUUCAUCAUCUCUGCUGUUAAAGUUGGUCUAGUCAAAUACUUUGGGUUUUCUGGUUGCUGCUCUGUUGCUCCUGCUAUAUUCUGGUUGCUGCUCUUCCAGUUCUUAUUCAUCUUUUUCUUCCCUUUUUCUUUGCUGAUAAUAACAUAUGUACUGAUAUUUUUUCCCGAUAAUAGAGUUGGUAUUUGAAUGUUAUAUGGCUAUGAGAUUUCAGCUAUCUGUUCACUUCAUGUAUACUGGAUGUUUUUGUUUUUACGUUUGAUUAUGAGUUCAAGUUUGAUUUAAAGCAUCAGAAUGUCACAAACCUUAAUGAAAUAGGAAACAAUGCAUUAAAAUCAGUUAUUUCUUUUAGCCUUUGACUGUCAAAGUAUUCUUGAAGUUCUGAAAAAUCCCUAAAUGUUUGAGAUUUCAGAAGUUUGGCAGCAUGUUCUUUUUGUGUAAAGCCUUCCCCUUUUGAAAUCACUUUUUCUUGGUAUUGUUAGCAUUUGGUAAUGCAGGAGUUUGUGAGUGCUUGGCACGAGGCCCAGAUUUACAAAUCUUGCCACUGGUUGGUUAGCCUUUUGUGAAUGAUAGGUAGCUUCAAGAAUAUGGCAAAACUUAUUACUAAGUUGAUCACUAGGCAGAUUCAAAAUUUAUUUGAUUUCAUCCUGUACAUAUUACUUUUAUUAAUUUAGUUCAAGGCCUGUAAUUAUUUGUAAAUAUUUAAUGAAGUUAUUUAUUAUUGGAAGUGUAUAAAAUGUAUUCAAACUUAGUUUAAAUCAUUGCUAUUUUAGCUCUUUUCUUUACAACAGUCCAAAUGUUUCUUGUUCAGAGUUCGAAAACUGGGCCCAUUCCAUUUAAGCACAUCUAGGACCAGUACAUAUUAACUUGAGAUGUUUCAGUUUAGUAUAUGUUGUUUGUUCCUGAAAUGUGACUUAAAUAGCUAGUAUAAAUGUUUUGAAAAUCGCUGAUUUGUGCACGUCCAUAUUUGGCAAGAAUGUUGAGAUUCUGGUGUGUUGUUUGAACUCUUUUUAGCCCUUCUAUGCAAUACAAAUGUUUUUUAAGUUUAUCCUUUUGUCAAAAUUAUGUUAAGUAAUCACUAGUUUCCUUUGCAUAAUGUUAGAUCCAAUCGACCGUGGCCUAAUUUGUCAAAAUUGGUUCAUUAACUUGUAGUGAUAUCAUUGACUCAAAGAGAAAACAUAUUUAGAUCUUUUGUCCACAUUAACAGAACUCACACUUUACCCGACCCCAUUUCAUAAUUCUUUGACAUUCACUUGACUUCAAACCUUAGAAAAGGAUGAUCAUAUGAAUACCGUAUUUUGCUUUAGGCACGAUUGUUAAAUAAACCAUCAUGAUUAUGGGUAUGGUUCCCGUGACAUAGUUAUGAUGCCUAAUUUCCUAAAUUCGUGUGUGCAUUUUAUGUGACCCAAUCACAACAACUUCGAAUAAUAAUAAAAAAAAAGUCGCGAAUCGCGGGUGCAUUUCAUGUAGUGUGGUUUGCGGCGUGUUCCAAAAUGGCAAGAGUACGACAAUCAUAACUUGUUCAAGAAAAUUUCCAUAAAUCCUAAAAGCGGAUAAAAUAAUUAAAAGUGGUUAUAAAGUUAAAAAAUGCACACUAGGUUUAAAACAUGUAAUAAAUUAGAUAAUUAGGCCAAUAUUAAUAGUUAAGCGACUGUGCUCGAACCACGGAACCCGGAAAUGCCUAACACCUUCUCCCGGGUUAACAAAAUUCCUUAACUAGUUUUCUGGUUUCGCAGACUUUUAAAUGAAGUCGAUUUUCCUCGAUUUGGGAUUUAAAGUAAACCGAUGACUUGGGACACCAAAUAAAUUAUUCCAAGUGGUGACUCUGAAAUAAAUAAAUAAAUAAUUCCGUUUCGAUUUAUGUUACUUUAAUUGGAAAAACUCCUUUAUAUCCCACUCGGAAGAAAAAAGGAGGUGUGACAACUCUGGCAACUCUGUUGGGGACUAAGAACCCAGAACCUUUGGUUUAGGGUUCAAGAAUUCGAGCUUAUAAUAACUGUUAUACGUGGCUUUAUUUUUUUUUACAUGUUUGAGCCUAAUGUGCUAAAUGCCUCUUUUUACUGCUUUGAUAUCGUUUGAACUGUAUAUAAAUUGUUACGAAACCCUCUUCUCUCUGAGUCUUCUAAAUCAUCUAGGAAGUGUGCACUUCCUAUGAUUUAUUUUCUGUUAGAGUCAUAUCCCAAUUUAAGAAUGAGGUUCGGACAAGUUGCAAAGCCGGUGAAACUUCUGUAUUCACAGUACGCUGCCCCCCUCGGCUCGAGUCAUCUGCUCGGGUAAGCCAGGUCUAGAAUAAAUACACCCAGGUUUUUAAACCUAGAAUAACAUAGCCUCAUGCCGGAUCCCUAGUAGAAAUGCUUGUUUGAAUCACGUGCAUUUGACUUUGGGGACUCAACACAGGGGUUGGGUUCGUCUAGGGCCGGUGCACCCUAAAUCAAAAGAUCAUCCCGAUGCAUUUUACUUGCUACUUGUACACUUAUUUGCUUUGGAUUGCAUGUUCACCGACUUCUAGAAUAAGGGAGAAAAGUUGGAAAAAUCAAAUUGAGGUAUGAGAGAGAUAAUUACCUACUUUUGAAAAAUCAGGUGUCCAAAAUAUACCGAAACUCUGCCGAAAACAAAGAGAGAAAAAGAAAAAGGAAAUAAAAGAAAAUUGUUUCAAAUAUUUCAUGUUUUUCUGUUGCGUCAAAAACUUCCUGAACUACGCAGGUUUUAUUCUCACCAGAUGUGGUAUACGUAGGCAACCCUUAUCGGGUCCAACCCUAUUUUUAGAAAAAUAACCCAAAAAUAUGAAAGGUUGUCAUUUUGUCAUAAAUAAAGUUAGAUGAUGUCGUUUUUGUCUAAAUCGCCAGAAAUGCCCCGACAGGGAGCCGGAAGGUUGUUUUUGCAAGAAUAACCACCUAUGAUCGUUUUUUCAAAUUUUGGCCAAUUAGCAAACACAUCCCUAAAAUCUUCCUUCCUGAAGUGCUGAAGGGCCGUAUUUGCAAAGGUGUUUUGUUUUGAGCAAGUUGUUUGAGUUGCAAUUUUGCAAAAAUAAUAUUCUUCCUUUUGGGUUAAAAUAAAUCAUGGGUUUUUAACCGAUCACUUUAAAUAAAUGUGCAGGAUGAGCACUAUUGAAAA